AGAACGAACGCUGGCGGCAUGCCUAACACAUGCAAGUCGAACGAGACCUUCGGGUCUAGUGGCGCACGGGUGCGUAACGCGUGGGAAUCUGCCCUUGGGUUCGGGAUAACAGUUGGAAACGACUGCUAAUACCGGAUGAUGACUUCGGUCCAAAGAUUUAUCGCCCAGGGAUGAGCCCGCGUAGGAUUAGCUAGUUGGUGAGGUAAAGCUACACCAAGGCGACGAUCCUUAGCUGGUCUGAGAGGAUGAUCAGCCACACUGGGACUGAGACACGGCCCAGACCUCCGUACGGGAGCAGCGA
rnacentral:rRNA from 1 species